rnacentral:rRNA from 1 species
AUUGAACGCUGGCGGCAUGCCUUACACAUGCAAGUCGAACGGUAACAGGUCUUCGGAUGCUGACGAGUGGCGCACGGGUGCGUAAUACAUCGGAACGUGCCCGAUCGUGGGGGAUAACGAGGCGAAAGCUUUGCUAAUACCGCAUACGAUCUACGGAUGAAAGCGGGGGAUCUUCGGACCUCGCGCGGACGGAGCGGCCGAUGGCAGAUUAGGUAGUUGGUGGGAUAAAAGCUUACCAAGCCGACGAUCUGUAGCUGGUCUGAGAGGAUGAUCAGCCACACUGGGACUGAGACACGGCCCAGACUCCUACGGGAGGCAGCAGUGGGGAAUUUUGGACAAUAGGCGAAAGCCUGAUCCAGCCAUGCCGCGUGCAGGAUGAAGGCCUUCGGGUUGUAAACUGCUUUUGUACGGAACGAAAAGCCUCUUUCUAAUAAAGAGGGGUCAUGACGGUACCGGAAGAAUAAGCACCGGCUAACUACGUG